CGAUAGCGGACAAGUACCGUGAGGGAAAGGUGAAAAGUACCCCGGGAGGGGAGUGAAAUAGUACCUGAAACCGUGCGCUUACAAUCCGUCGGAGCCAUAUUUAGUGUGGUGACGGCGUGCCUUUUGAAGAAUGAGCCUGCGAGUUAGUGGUGUGUGGCGAGGUUAACCCGUGUGGGGAAGCCGUAGCGAAAGCGAGUCCGAACAGGGCGAUUGAGUCGCGUGUCCUAGACCCGAAGCGGAGUGAUCUACCCAUGGGCAGGUUGAAGCGCGGGUAAGACCGCGUGGAGGACCGAACCCACCAGGGUUGAAAACCUGGGGGAUGACCUGUGGGUAGGGGUGAAAGGCCAAUCAAACUCCGUGAUAGCUGGUUCUCUCCGAAAUGCAUUUAGGUGCAGCGUUGCGUGU
rnacentral:rRNA from 11 species